GGCAGCAGCUAAGAAUAUUCCGCAAUGGACGAAAGUCUGACGGAGCGACGCCGCGUGGACGAUGAAGGCCGGAAGGUUGUAAAGUCCUUUUAUUAUUGAAGAAUAAUCAGAAGAGGGAAUGCUUCUGAGGUGACCGUAGAUAAUGAAUAAGCACCGGCUAGUUACGUGCCAGCAGCCGCGGUAACACGUAAGGUGCGAGCGUUGUUCGGAAUUAUUGGGCGUAAAGGACAUGUAGGCGGCAUCGUAAGCUUGGUGUGAAAUCCCGGGGCUUAACCCCGGAACUGCAUUGAGAACUGCGGAGCUAGAAUCACUGAGGGGCAACCGGAAUUCCAGGUGUAGGGGUGAAAUCUGUAGAUAUCUGGAAGAACACCAAUGGCGAAGGCAGGUUGCUAGCGGAUGAUUGACGCUGAGGUGCGAAGGUGCGGGGAGCGAACAGGAUUAGAUACCCUGGUAGUCCGCACAGUAAACUAUGUACACUUGGUGUCCGGGUUUGAGCCUGGGUGCCGAAGCAAACGCGAUAAGUGUACCGCCUGGGGAGUAUGCCCGCAAGGGUGAAACUCAAAGGAAUUGACGG
rnacentral:rRNA from 1 species